UGAGCGUAUAGUGGUGCUAUUCGUCAGUUGUUUCGCGUCCUGCUGGAAUAAUCGUAUGUGUGAAAUGUGUGGUUCGCUGCUGCCGGCAGGUUAUCUAGUAGUGAUUGUUGUGACGUAAAAUAUACGGUGUGCCAGCCAUAUGCGGAUUACCGUUCCAGUGUGAUCAGAUUUUUGAACCGUAACAGAAGAUCGAUAAUAGUAGUGUGGGACUGUUUGUGUAGUUGUGUUUGCUGGCAUGGAUGUUGUUCCGAACAUGCUGUGAAACUAUGUUUACCUUUGUAGGAUUUGAGGUUCUUACAGCGGUGGUUAUGCAGAAAGACAAAGCUCCUCAUGUUUACCUUUGGUUUUCUGGAUGGAUCUUUGAAACGCGUCUUUUUAUGGAAUUGCUAAGGUUGCGUGUAGCGUGGUGAUGAUUCCUAAGAACACUAUGAGAAAGUUUUAUACAAUGGCUAAUUUUUAGAAGAUUCAUACAAUUAUGGAUAUAAAUAAUACUGUAUUUAUAUAUUUCUUCAUUUUU